AUUGAACGCUGGCGGCAUGCCUUACACAUGCAAGUCGAACGGCAGCACGGGAGCAAUCCUGGUGGCGAGUGGCGAACGGGUGAGCAAUAUAUCGGAACGUGCCCAAUCGUGGGGGAUAACGUAGCGAAAGUUACGCUAAUACCGCAUACGAUCUACGGAUGAAAGCGGGGGAUCGCAAGACCUCGCGCGGUUGGAGCGGCCGAUAUCAGAUUAGGUUGUUGGUGGGGUAAAAGCAUACCAACCCGAUGAUCUGUAGCUGGUCUGAGAGGACGACCAGCCACACUGGGACUGAGACACGGCCCAGACUCCUACGGGAGGCAGCAGUGGGGAAUUUUGGACAAUGGGCGCAAGCCUGAUCCAGCAAUGCCGCGUGCAGGACGAAGGCCUUCGGGUUGUAAACUGCUUUUGUACGGAACGAAACAGCUCUUUCUAAUACAAGGGGCUAAUGACGGUACCGUAAGAAUAAGCACCGGCUAACUACGUGCCAGCCGCCGCGGUAACAC
rnacentral:rRNA from 1 species